GCGAGAGUGAACGGUGGCGGCUACGGUAGUAACAACGCGACAACACACGGUGGAGGCACUGGGCUCGUUGUGUGGGGAUUGAGGAUGACCUUAGCUCUCACAGCUGACCGGCUGCGUACGUACUGUACUUCACGCUCGGUCAUAUCUGAACACAAAACAUCGAACGCCGUGUUGCCUCUCAGCGCGCGUGCGUGGUUCGUUGCACACGCGGGCGAGUGUAAACGACACACACGUCCAUCCACGUGCAUUAUCGAAGAAACGAGCGUGGCUGGUGAAACGAUAACGCGAGAAACUAACAUGGCGAUUAGUGUGGCGAGCAGGAACGUCAUUCACCAGCCCAUGUUCGAAAUUCCAUCGAUCAAUCUAGUCCUUUCCAAGAUAAGGGGUUCGGAUGGUCUGCAUAUUAAUUGCUGGGGGGGGGGGGGGGGGGGGUACUCGAAGCUUGUUCAAUCAAAAGUUGUA